AGCUGCCUUGACUGAGUAAGUCAGAGAAGGCUUCCUGGAGGAGAGCGAAGGGUGUGGGGCUGGGUUGAGAUACAGGAAGAUCUGGGUUUGAAUUAUAGUUUGGCUGCUUCCUAGCUGUUUGAUCUUGGACAAAACUUUCAUUCAUUCUAUAUUUUUUGGAGUGUCUACUCCAUGCCAAUCAUGUGUGAAAUGUUGGGAUAACAAAGGCGAAUUCAAUCUGGCUCUCGUCCUCGGAGCUUAAGCAAAUCAUCUGGGGUAGCGUGACCCAUGCUACGAUGGAGGUGGAAUACGGGGCUGCAGGGCGGGGCCACAGGACAUAGUGGGCAGCUUAACCUCCUUGAGCCUCCCUAUCCCUAAUUCACGUGAUGGGGUUUGUAACCACUUCUCACAUCGUUGAGAGAAAAGGGUGAGCCUGACUCAGAGGUGUGGCAAAGGAAGGGCAGGGCAGGCUUUAAGGACAGGGACAGGGCUGUCAGAGGCUGAGGCUAGGGAGGGGCAGGAAGGGGUGUGAGGCAGGGCGGAAGAGAGCAGGGCCCUGGGCAGGUGCUGAGCCAGGUCCUGCAGGUCACCCAGUCGCUUGAGUCCACGAAUGCUGGAGGCAGGCACUGGAGAGCCAGGGUGGUUCAGCCGCAGCUCCUCUGAGCAGGGAGUCAAACAGGGCUGAAACAGACACCAGCUCUCCAGGACCAGCUGGAGUUCACAGUCCAGAGGAGAAGCCCGAUGCUGAACAGAGAAUCACAUCCGUGAGCAACACAAAAGGCAAGGCAAACCCUGGGCAGAUGCCCCCGGGACUGUGUGUUAUGGGCCUACAGGAAGCCUCUCCCAAUGAAAAAGCAAUUUUUCAGCCAGAACCUCCACCAGUGUCUUUCAAACUGUGAGUGGCAACCCAUUUGUGGGUCAUAAAAUCAAUUUAGUAGUUGUGACCUGAAUUACUUGUUAGUGAAAUAGAGAGGAAUUUACAACAUCACACUUAGGAAAUACUGUUUUGUGAAAUGUUAGUUUCAGUUAUCUAUCUAUCUAUCUGUCUGUCUGAGAGAUCAUGUUUAUUAGUUAAGAUAUUAAAUGUAUUUCUUACUGCAGGUCUCAAUCAAAAACCUCUGAAAGCCACUGGCCUAGAGUUAGAGGAAGAGUUAGCCAUGAGAAAUGGUGGUGACACAGGUUCCAAAAGAAGAAACAAUAGGUAUCAGGCUCAGAGAUGAAAGGGCUAGAAGGAGGACACACCAAGUUCAAGGUCUGGCCUUUCUCGAGGGCAGUGGGGAGCCAUGGGAGGUUAGCAAGAUCCCAUCUUCUUCAUCCCUGGGCCUCACCCCAUGGGCAGGAGGGAAAUGGCAGGAAGUUGUCUUUGUGUCUCCCCAGGAGCCUGGACCUGUGGCCUUCCCUGCCUCCACCUGGGCCUCAACCGUCACGACCACCUGGCCUUUGAGGUAGGGUUUGGAGAAGGAAGUCAGCCUAUUAUCAGGAGAAGGCUUGAAUUUCUAUAUUCAUAGCUUGUUUCUGUCACUUACUAGCCUUGUGAUCAUGGGCAACUUGUCUAAUCUCUGUCCCUCAGUUUCCUCCUUUGUAAAAUAGGUCUCAUAGAACUCAUCCCCAAAAGUCCUUGUGAAGAUUUAGUUUGUAAGCCAGAUGUCUGCAGACCUCCAGUAAAAGAAUAUGUUUUUGGUAUUAGUAUGUAUGUCCCAAAUAUUGCUUGGAAUAUGCUUAUACAAACAAAAAUCAUUUGUUUUUUAUCUGAAAUUCAAAUUUACCUGGAUGUCCUGUAUUUUAUCUGGAAACCCUACACAGAAAUCAAAUGGCUCACGCUGUGUCUCAGAGCUGCAACGAUCCAACGCCCUCCAUCCUUCAGAGGCUGUCUGAGUCCGGGGACACAACUCCCACCCUCCUCUCCUGCCAGCCGCGGCCCGUGGCUGCUCUCUUCACUUCGUCCCGCUUCGCCCCGACUGUGGAUCUACCCGCUCCCUUCUCCCUCAGUCCCCAAAGCACCAGACUCACAGGCCUGCUGUGUGACCCACUUUUACCGACCUUUCGGGGAGAGUAGAGGGCAUUUGUGACUCAGCUCAGAGCAGGAAACACAUCUCACGUCAACUGUCAGACAGCGCUGCUCCGAAUCCCAUCACAGUGCUCCAGCAGGGGGCGUCCUCACCGGCCGCGGCCACAGCCACGGCUCAACCCGGCCUAGCUCCCAGACACCCUCCUUCCACCGCCUGUUUUCCACCGUCCCCGCCUGCUCUUUCAAGCCAGCAGCAAACAACACCCUAAUCCGUGUCUUUAUUAUUCAAAGACCUUAAGCACUCUUUCCCACCUCGUUCCCAUCUUGAUUAUUUCAGGGAAUGAAUUAGGGAUUCACCUUUACAAUCAAAAAAGUUCUCUCAAAGCCAGGCUACUGGAGUUCUAAUUCUGCCUUCCCACUUUUACUAGCUGUGAAAUCUCAGGAAAGUUACUUAACCUCUCUCUGUCUCAUUUUCCUCAUCUUUAAAAAACAGGAUGAUAAUAUUUAGCUCCUAAGAUGGUUGUGAGGAUUUAAGUGAGCUGAUAUAUCCAAGAAUGUCUAGAACAGCGCGUGGCAGAAUGGGCAUUGCAUAUGGGUUUAAUCUUGUAACUGCCAUGUUUCACCAAUUCUAAGGUGUAUCUCGUUUCUCAUCAUAAGAGCUCUUCCGCUCGUGUGGCAGCUGGGAGUGGCCGUCAUUGCCUGCGCAUACCUAAACUUGGUCAGCAGCCAAGUGUUUUGUGAGACCUAAGAAAGGAAGAGCCCCAUAAGUAAAUGGAACUGUUGUGUUGUUUUAUUACCGAGAAAAGGGCAGAAUGAUUGCUAGUCACACGUGAAGCAAGAAAACCCCGGCAAUAAAGCUUGCAGAAUGAGUGGCUGAGGCUUGAAAAUAAAUGGUGGAAACAAUAGUGGACAAUCUUUUAAAGAAUGGCACAUUGCCAAUGCUCCUGAUGGCACAGAAGGUGACACCAUGCAGAAAAUCAAGGCUCUGAGUCAAAGAGGGUUUCAGAAAAAUUGGACUCUGAAUGUGAAGAAAUCUGGGGACUAUUUUAGCCAAUUUGUUUUGCCUAUAAUUUCCUUUUAUGCAUGCAAAAGAGCAAUUCUGAC
rnacentral:lncRNA from 1 species